UACGUAGGGAGCAAGCGUUGUCCGGAAUCAUUGGGCGUAAAGAGCUCGUAGGCGGCCUGUUGCGUCCGCUGUGAAAGCCCGGGGCUUAACCCCGGGUCGGCAGUGGAUACGGGCAGGCUAGAGGUAGGUAGGGGAGAAUGGAAUUCCCGGUGUAGCGGUGAAAUGCGCAGAUAUCGGGAGGAACACCGGUGGCGAAGGCGGUUCUCUGGGCCUUACCUGACGCUGAGGAGCGAAAGCGUGGGGAGCGAACAGG
rnacentral:rRNA from 1 species